rnacentral:rRNA from 1 species
UACGUAGGAUGCAAGCGUUAUCCGGAGUUACUGGGCGUAAAGGGCGCGUAGGCGGCAAUUCAAGUCAGCUGUGAAAUCUCCGAGCUUAACUCGGAACGGUCAGCUGAUACUGUUUUGCUAGAGUGCAGAAAGGGCAACCGGAAUUCUUGGUGUAGCGGUGAAAUGCGUAGAUAUCAAGAGGAACACCUGAGGCGAAGGCGGGUUGCUAGGCUGACACUGACGCUGAGGCGCGAAAGCUAGGGUAGCAAACGGG